CCGACAACAGAGAGGAUCUUGGUCCUCUGACAAGAAAUUUAGAGAUCAGCUCUUUCGGUAACAUCUCUACCCAAGAGCUUGGACCCCUUUGGGGUGAAUGAUGCCACAAAAACCCUGAGAUAGAAUUUCCAAGCCAUCACUUCAAAUUACUGCAUAACUGUGUUCAUGGAAGUAGUAAUGAUGCUAAUACAUGUGUGGGAAAGGAAGAAAAGGAAGAAUCUGGGCAACUCAACUCAAUGAGGAGCUGGGCACCAGGACAAGCACUUCCCAUGCUGUUCAGCUUGUUGAUGCUGCCCCAUGAGCCUGCUCUCACCCUUAAGGUCUGAUGAUGGAUUUAGCUUGUCAGGCACGCAGCCACUGUUCCCCUUGACGACACUAUUGCUUUCACCCUCAGCUGUUGCUACUCUUGGCCACCUUGAGCAGAGGCCCUGCCAAGCUCCCCCUCCCUGACUCGUCCACGUGGAGGGGAAGUGCUUCCAGAAGGAGCUCGCAGCAAGAGGAUGAAAUCUGGGUGCAGGGGGAAGGUGAGCUUGGAGGCCAGCGAGGAGGAGGGAAAUGAAGUGGGUUCCUGCCUUCAUGCAACAGAUACUUAUGGAACCCUGGGGAGACCAUGUGCUGGUACGUGUAGGGGACACUGGUGAACAGGUUCCAUCCCCGAUCUCAGGGAGCUUUCCGCGCUGCAGGAGGUAUCUAUCUGGCGCAGCUAAAUCUGUUAUGAGGUGUGAAGAAAGAGACAAGGAGAGACAAGAUUUGUUGCUGAAUUAAAAAAAAAAUCUGCCUAUGUUUCACAUAAUAGACAAAUAAUAAAUGUUUACUAAAUUGACUUAAAUGGACCCAGGA